rnacentral:rRNA from 1 species
UACAGAGGUCCCGAGCGUUGUUCGGAUUCAUUGGGCGUAAAGGGUGCGUAGGCGGUUUUCUAAGUUUGAUGUGAAAUCCCGGGGCUCAACCCUGGAAUUGCAUUGAAUACUGGGAGACUAGAGUACUGGAGAGGAAACUGGAAUUUACGGUGUAGCAGUGAAAUGCGUAGAGAUCGUAAGGAAGACCAGUGGCGAAGGCGAGUUUCUGGACAGUUACUGACGCUGAGGCACGAAGGCCAGGGGAGGCAAACGGG